rnacentral:rRNA from 1 species
CUACGGGUGGCAGCAGUGGGGAAUAUUGGACAAUGGGCGAAAGCCUGAUCCAGCCAUGCCGCGUGUGUGAAGAAGGCCUUCGGGUUGUAAAGCACUUUCAGUGGGGAAGAAAGCCUUGGGGCUAAUACCCUCGAGGAAGGACAUCACCCACAGAAGAAGCACCGGCUAACUCCGUGCCAGCAGCCGCGGUAAUACGGAGGGGGCGAGCGUUAAUCGGAAUUACUGGGCGUAAAGCGCGCGUAGGCGGUCUGAUAAGCCGGUUGUGAAAGCCCCGGGCUCAACCUGGGAACGGCAUCCGGAACUGUCAGGCUAGAGUGCAGGAGAGGAAGGUAGAAUUCCCGGUGUAGCGGUGAAAUGCGUAGAGAUCGGGAGGAAUACCAGUGGCGAAGGCGGCCUUCUGGACUGACACUGACGCUGAGGUGCGAAAGCGUGGGUAGCAAACAGGAUUAGAUACCCUUGUAGUC